rnacentral:rRNA from 1 species
GUUGGGUAGGGGAGCGUUCUGUAAGCCUGCGAAGGUGUACUGUGAGGUAUGCUGGAGGUAUCAGAAGUGCGAAUGCUGACAUAAGUAACGAUAAUGCGGGUGAAAAACCCGCACGCCGGAAGACCAAGGGUUCCUGUCCAACGUUAAUCGGGGCAGGGUGAGUCGACCCCUAAGGCGAGGCUGAAAAGCGUAGUCGAUGGGAAACGGGUUAAUAUUCCCGUACUGGUGGUAACUGCGAUGGGGGAACGGAGAAGGCUAGGUUGUCCGGGCGACGGUCGUCCCGGUUCAAGCAGGUAGGCAGAGUGAUUAGGCAAAUCCGGUCACUUAAUGCUGAGAUGUGAUGACGAACCACCAAGGUGGUGAAGCAAUUGAUGCCCCGCUUCCAGGAAAAGCCUCUAAGCUUCAGGUUACCAACAAUCGUACCCCAAACCGACACAGGUGGUCAGGUAGAGAAUACUCAGGCGCUUGAGAGAACUCGGGUGAAGGAACUAGGCAAAAUGGUGCCGUAACUUCGGGAGAAGGCACGCUGGCGGUAGGUAAAGUCCCUCGCGGACGGCGCUGAAGCCAGUCGAAGAUACCAGCUGGCUGCAACUGUUUAUUAAAAACACAGCACUGUGCAAACACGAAAGUGGACGUAUACGGUGUGACGCCUGCCCGGUGCUGGAAGGUUAAUUGAUGGGGU